rnacentral:rRNA from 1 species
AAUAGAUACCCCGGUAGUCCACGCCGUAAACGGUGGGCACUAGGUGUGGGCGACAUUCCACGUCGUCCGUGCCGCAGCUAACGCAUUAAGUGCCCCCGCCUGGGGAGUACGGCCGCAAGGCUAAAAACUCAAAGGAAUUGACGGGGGCCCGCACAAGCGGCGGAGCAUGUGGCUUAAUUCGACGCAACGCGAAGAACCUUACCAAGGCUUGACAUACACCGGAAACGUCCAGAGAUGGGCGCCCCCUUGUGGUCGGUGUACAGGUGGUGCAUGGCUGUCGUCAACUCGUGUCGUGAGAUGUUGGGUUAAGUCCCGCAACGAGCGCAACCCUUGUCCCGUGUUGCCAGCAGGCCCUUGUGGUGCUGGGGACUCACGGGAGACCGCCGGGGUCAACUCGGGAGGAAGGUGGGGACGGACGUCAAGGUCAUCAUGCCCCUUAUGUCUUGGGCUGCACACGUGCUACAAUGGCCGGUACAAUGAGCUGCGAUACCCGCGAGGUGGAGCGAAUCUCAAGAAGCCGGUCUCAGUUCGGAUUGGGGU